rnacentral:rRNA from 1 species
GUGCCAGCCGCCGCGGUAAUACGUAGGUGGCAAGCGUUGUCCGGAUUUACUGGGCGUAAAGAGCGCGCAGGCGGUUGGACAAGUCGCGUGUGAAAGCCCCCGGCUCAACUGGGGAGGGUCACGCGAUACUGUUCAACUCGAAGGCAGGAGAGGGAAGUGGAAUUCCCGGUGUAGUGGUGAAAUGCGUAGAUAUCGGGAGGAACACCAGUGGCGAAGGCGACUUCCUGGCCUGUUCUUGACGCUGAGGCGCGAAAGCUAGGGGAGCAAACGGGAUUAGAUACCCUGGUAGUCCACGCUGUAAACGAUGAGAGCUAGUUGUCGGCAGGUUUACCUGUCGGUGACGCAGCUAACGCAUUAAGCUCUCCGCCUGGGGAGUACGGCCGCAAGGUUAAAACUCAAAUGAAUUGACGG